rnacentral:rRNA from 1 species
GGUUGCGAUCAUACCAGCACUAAUGCACCGGAUCCCAUCAGGACUCCGCUGUUAAGCGUGCUUGGGCGAGAGUAGUACUAGGAUGGGUGACCCCCUGGGAAGUCCUCGUGUUGCAACCCC